UUAGGAUUUGGUUUAGGAUUUAGGAUUUGUCUAAAAUUUGAUUUAAGAUUUGAUUUAGGAUUUUGGAUUUGAUCUAUGAUCUAAUUUAAGAUUUAAGAUUUUUCUAGGAUUUGAUUUAGGAUUUGGUUUAGGAUUUAAGAUUUGUCUAGGAUUUGAUUUAGGCUUUUAUUUAGGAUUUAAAAUUUAUUUAGGAUUUGAUUGAAAUCCAUUGGGAUUUCAAUUAAGAUUAAAUUAAAACUUAUUUGAGAUUUAUUUAAGAUAUAUUUAUGAUUAUUUGAAUAUUCUUUUAAUACUUCUUGAAGAUUCUUUUAAGGUUCAUUGUGGAUUUUCUUUCAACUCCUUUAAGAUUUCUUAUUCUUUCUUUUAUAAUUUCUUUAAGGUUUUUUUUUAAUUUGAUUAAAGCUUAUUUAGUAUUAUUAAGAUUUAAUUAGAUUUUAUUUAGUAUUCUA
rnacentral:lncRNA from 1 species